UACGUAGGGUGCAAGCGUUAAUCGGAAUUACUGGGCGUAAAGCGUGCGCAGGCGGCUUUGCAAGACAGAUGUGAAAUCCCCGGGCUCAACCUGGGAACUGCAUUUGUGACUGCAAGGCUAGAGUACGGUAGAGGGGAUGGAAUUCCGCGUGUAGCAGUGAAAUGCGUAGAUAUGCGGAGGAACACCGAUGGCGAAGGCAAUCCCCUGGACCUGUACUGACGCUCAUGCACGAAGCGUGGGGAGCAACAGG
rnacentral:rRNA from 1 species